CAGCAGCCGCGGUAAUACGGAGGGUGCAAGCGUUAAUCGGAAUUACUGGGCGUAAAGCGCACGCAGGCGGUCUGACAAGUCAGAUGUGAAAUCCCCGGGCUUAACCUGGGAACUGCAUUUGAAACUGUCAGGCUGGAGUCUUGUAGAGGGGGGUGGAAUUCCAGGUGUAGCGGUGAAAUGCGUAGAGAUCUGGAGGAAUACCGGUGGCGAAGGCGGCCCCCUGGACAAAGACUGACGCUCAGGUGCGAAAGCGUGGGGAGCAAACAGGAUUAGAUACCCGGGUAGUCCCUGUCUAUUAUAC
rnacentral:rRNA from 1 species